UGGGGGAUAUUGCACAAUGGGGGGAACCCUGAUGCAGCAACGCCGCGUGAAUGAUGAAGGUCUUCGGAUUGUAAAAUUCUGUUCUUGGUGAAGAUAAUGACGGUAGCCAAGGAGAAAGCUCCGGCUAACUACGUGCC
rnacentral:rRNA from 1 species